UGAUCUCGUUAGAUCACCGAAGUUAAGCAUCAUUGGGCGCGGACAGUACUUGGGUGGGUGACCACCUGGGAACACUGCGUGCCGUU